UACGUAGGGUGCAAGCGUUGUCCGGAAUUAUUGGGCGUAAAGAGCUCGUAGGCGGUUUGUCGCGUCUGCUGUGAAAUCUGGGGGCUCAACCCCCAGCCUGCAGUGGGUACGGGCAGACUAGAGUGCGGUAGGGGAGAUUGGAAUUCCUGGUGUAGCGGUGGAAUGCGCAGAUAUCAGGAGGAACACCGAUGGCGAAGGCAGUUCUCUGGGCCGUAACUGACGCUGAGGAGCGAAAGCGUGGGGAGCGAACAGG
rnacentral:rRNA from 1 species